UGCCAAGAGCCAGUAACCACUACCGUGGGACUGGGAGCACUCAACCACAGAAAUUCUUGCCUGAAUCUUGCAAUGGAGAUAGUGUCAAUAAUGGAGUUGAAGUUUUCCUCUAUUGUCUAUGAAGAAGACACGGGGA